ensembl:lncRNA
AUUUUUUAGUUUAUUUUGCUUUAUUAAUUUAACAAAAUGAACAAAAUUUUAAAGCUUUUAAUAAUUUUACUUUAGCCUUUAAUUUUUUUUAUACAUUUUAAUUUAUUUUACAUGUUUUAUUUCACAUUAUAUAUAUAUAUAUAAAUUUUUUUUUUAGUUGAGAGUCCAGGACGUCCUGCUGUAGGAUUUUAACAUCUCUGCUCCACUCAAACACCGGGUCACUUUGAUGUAGGUCAUGAGAUUCACUUCAGAUGUUUGCCAGACUGCAUUUAUAACCAUGAGAUCGCAUAAACAGCUGGACGUGUAUGUUUAAUUUAUAUCAGCCUGACAGGAAGCACACGGGACAAUUACUCCUGAUAACACACACACACAGAGCAUGGAUGGUUAGUAGGAUAAAUGAGCUGUCUGUGUGUGUCUUUUGUGGUGGAAAUAGUGAGGUAAAUUUCCCCCGUUUGAUUCAGGUUAAAGGAUACAGUCUCUGCUGCUAAGAUAAGAAUUGAAAUCCUGUUUUGCUUCAUAUCAACUCGCUAAACCAAAUGGGAACUCGCUGUGAUUUAUUACUGCAGUGUUUUUCAACCUUGACUCAUAAAGUGUUUGUCGCAGCCCGUCCCGUCUCAUUUCUUUUUAGCUUAGCAGGAAAACAUGCUAACAGUCCCAAAGCAAUGUUUCAAAGCAGCCUGGGCUCCGUGUCUCCUGACAGGAAAUGGGAAAAUAUGUGUGACUCACGCUGCACUACACAGAUUUUUGACCAAUCAAAAGCUCUCCCAAGUGAGAAUGCCCCUCCCCCUCCCCUGCUAAUAAGAAUCUAUUUCCAAAUCUGAUUCUACAGUCAAUUUUGUAUGAUAAACACUUUUGAUACAUUUUUGAGAUGCCAACUGAGGUCCAAGGUAAAAUCUGUGUCCUGUGUCCCUCCACUGCACUGGUGCUAUACCCUAAACUAUAAAUCUGUCACUGGACAUGGACCUUGUUUUAUUAAUAACCCCAGAUGAAGGCCCGUGAGCCAGGUUCAUCUGCUCAUACAUGGAAACUAUCUCAUCUGUGCGAUGGCAACAGGAAAUCAGCUCAUCCUGACAAAUGUUUUCUGUGCUGGAGAGCCGCUGAUCGGACUGAAGGAGAGCAGCUGUUCAUGCAGGACAGUGAUAGAGGAUCACUGGAACUCAUCCGUAAAAAUGUUUUAUGAGAUGCAAAUGCUUUCCAGACUCUUAUUAAAAAGCUGAAGGGCAGGUCAAGGGCCUUAGGGCUUUUUCUCAAUAAUUCAUCCAUCCAAACGCCGCUGGUUCUUACACUGCAUGUGUUUCGAGGGGCAUGUUAUCUGUGUUGGAUGUAACCAACAAAACUACACAAAAGUGGAAGUAGAUCUCUAUUCCCAGCCCAAAAUAAAUAAUUCCCAGCGGAAAUAUUUAAUUUCUUU